ensembl:antisense Gm14540 predicted gene 14540
AAGAGUACGCACCGAGCCUAGCCAAGUUCCACAGGGAAUAUGCUGAGUGCUGGAGUUGCUGAGGUCAUGGUCUCUCUUCACAGCAGUGGAAAUCCUAAUGAAGACACUAACCUAAACCAAAAUCCCAGCAGCAAAGCAGCUAUGAAGGAAAAAAAGUAGAGUACAGGAGGAGCUGGGAGCACAACGACCCAAAACCCAACACCCUGCUCCAGCCCCUUUCAUACUCUGGCAAGUCUGGGCUUAUGAUUAUUUCCUUUGCAAGCCAAAUCAAUAACUAGGAGUGGGAGCAGACUCCCCACAGCAGCCUCCAUUCUUGCCACUGCCCCAAGCCCACUUUCUUAAGAUGGUAUUCUAAGCACCUCUUUCAACAGGGAGUCCUUGCACAGCUGAGACCUGAAACUGAAGAAUGUGAGUAUCAUCCCAAGCAUGGGCAAGAUCCUCACAUCCAUUCCCACCAGACCCAACCCAAAGGAAAGGCCCCUCUCCUCCUUGACUCUCACUAGCACAUCGACCUACACAUCAGGCUUCACUUUUCUGGCUUGUUUCAGCCCAUUUACUCUAUAAACUGCUACUGAACAGCUGGCAGUGCAGUCCUGUAGCUGCGAGAACAGAAGUUGAGCAGUGAAUAAAUAGUCUCUGCUCUCAAAGGCUUUUAACCACACAGUGGGUAAAAGAGACAAGCACAUAUAUACCUACAUUACAAUGAAAUAUAUCUGACAAGGAUAAAUCAAAUUUAUGAGCCAAAAGGAGGUGUUUUAAAAAUCAUCAGUUUGGGCGGUCUAGUCUGGGAAGACGAGUCAGUGGCUUCUGAGGAACCUUGCAGACUCUCAGAGACUUUCUUUCUUCUAUGCCUUUUAGCCUAAGUGCAGGAUCAAUAGGUCAGUGUUUACCUACAGCAAACAACAGCUCUGCAACUGCUACCCUGCUCAGCAAACAGACUGUCAACACUGAAGCCAUGGAAGCCCAGAAGCAAGUGCCCUCAAGGAGGUCCUGAUAGAACAGAGGAGAAAACAAUGAUUCUCUGAAAGAGACUAAUCAAAGUACAACUAGGGAACUGCACAUGAGAUGCUGCAUACAUGAGAAGUACAACAGAGGCUGUGGGUCCACAGCCUGGGGUCUACCAGGGUGGUUACCAGCCUGGGAUCACUCACAGGGUGGUUCUGGGAAGAAAUCUAAAACGGUAUGUAGGACUCCUCCUGAUAAACUUGGGUAAAAAGUAAAGUGGGGUGGGGUGGAGUGGGGUGCAGUGGGCUUCACAGUUGGGGGAGUAGUGCGGAGACAGAACAGAACAGCACAGUCCACACCCUCAAAGGGACAAGUUCAAGGACACUCAGAGCUUCAAUUCUGGCUACAUGAAAAGAAGUUAGGCAUGACAGAGGAGGGUCUAGGAGAUGACAGAAAAAACUAACCGAGGCCACAGGGUGUUACAGGACCAUGAUGGUUGUAGAUUUAGACUUCCUCCUAAGAGGGAAGAGGAGCCUCCCACAUCUUCAACCAAAGAAUGGCAUUAUUGGUUUCAUCGAAAUGAAAGAUUUCUAGGGCUACGCUGAGAACAGGGAGGGAAAUGCAAGGCUGAAGGCAGGGACCACAAGCACAAGAUGGUUUGAGCAAAGCAGGGGUAAAUGACUGGCCAGACUAAAGCAGCGACACCAUGAUGGAAGAAACCAUAGAACCUGACAUUAGAAAGCAGACAACAUAGAAGAAAGCUAUGGAGCUUCUAACCAAACUCAAGAGGAGAAAGUCAAGGUGUCCUCAAGAUGGCAAUGACAGCGGAGCAGGCCUAGAGCAAGAGCAGCACUACUGCCAGUGUGAUAAAGCUGGGAAGUGCCACCACCACCCUGAGUGCAGUCUGGCUUCAAGAGACCAUGUACUUCAGUACCCCACACACACACACACACACACACACACACACACACACAGAGGCCAACAUGCUCCUUCACCUUCCACCUUUACAGUAACCAAAGUGUUAUCAAUGUUACCUGCAACCAAGUAAUUUCAGGCUCCAACCAUUGGCUGCCAGCUAAUUAGAGCACAUAAUCAACUAUCCACUCACUCAAGGGAACCAGGAAAUUGUCUCAAGUAUGCUCCCAAGGCCUUGCAAGAUCCUCCAGUACUGUGACAGCUGUCACCAAAGUGUCGAGUAGCCCUAGGGAUAGAACAGGUUUAAAAGAAAACUUAUAAACAGUUACUGUUGCACCCAAGCAGCAGGGACAUGGCCUAAUACAGAGCACUUCAGCGACAGCUGGACUGUCAGGGAGACAGGAAAGGGAACAGGGAGAAGGAAGAUUCUGGGUCACAUAUCACCUUGUUUUUAAAAUGUUUUUUAAAAGAAAAACAUCACCAACAACAAUAACCUAUUAUUUGGCUGACAGCUGGAAAGUGAAUGGAUUUAUUUUGAAUAUUUCCACAUACAUUAGGAAAAUGUACAUUUGAAACUCCACUGGGCAUUUAUUCUAAGAGAUCUGGGCCUUCCCAAUGAUGCCCUAUAAAAUCUGUCAAAUUCCAAGAAAUACUGUAAGAUUGUUAAUUAGGCAUUUAUUUUACAACUGGCAUAUAAAAUUUGUCAGAUAGCAUUUCUAUAUAUUGGUCUUUAUUCUCCAUACUCCAAAAGAAUAGUUUAUACAGACAAUGUCUUGCAUUUUAUAAAUCUCGACACAGAAUUACAAAUUCCUACUUUACAGUUUUUGCCUCUAAUAAUUUCUAUGAUUUAUCCACAAACAGUUCUGAGAAAACACAACCCAUUCUUAUAAUCACUGUAGACUUAGUAUCCAAAAUCUACUGUAACAAAAAUAGGGUGUUCUCUUAAAAUAGCUUCUUUUUCCUAUAGUCCUUGAAUGAGCAAGUAGCUGACAGAACUCCAGAUACAGGAGUGUGGCUCCUGCCAUUACUCCCGCUCAAUCUUCACAUCCAGGCACCCCAUGCUGCUGCUGCUUCUCAGGAAGCCACUGGUCCCCAUGCCACCUAUAGGCACUUAUACAUGGUAAAUUACACAGAGCUGGUCUCUAGGUAGAGACCACUUAAAAUUUACUAAGAAGCAGCAGAGCCAACAGUUAAUACACUAACAGGAAAUCACCAGGCAGGGAACAACUGCAAAGUAUGACUCAGAAACAUUCCAGAAAGUACUAAGCUUUGCUCUGUGAUUCCCUUCCCUAUGGCACUCUAGCUAUCGUGUGUGGGAACCCUCUUGCACUGUCUUCAGACUGUCCUGAAUAUAUAAAUGUCCUAGCCAGGGAUUGGCUGCUACAUUAAAAGGCUUACAUC